UNUGAAGUUAAAGGCAGUGGCUCANCCAUUGUAGGCUUUGGAAACUGUUUAACUUGAGUGCAGAAGGGGAGAGUGGAAUUCCAUGUGUAGCGGUGAAAUGCGUAGAUAUAUGGAGGAACACCGGUGGCGAAAGCGGCUCUCUGGUCUGUAACUGACGCUGAGGCUCGAAAGCGUGGGGAGCGAACAGGAUUAGAUACCCUGGUAGUNCACGCCGUAAACGAUGAGUGCUAGGUGUUAGGUCCUUUCCGGGACUUAGUGCCGCAGCUAACGCAUUAAGCACUCCGCCUGGGGAGUACGACCGCAAGGUUGAAACUCAAAGGAAUUGACGGGGGCCCGCACAAGCGGUGGAGCAUGUGGUUUAAUUCGAAGCAACGCGAAGAACCUUACCAGGUCUUGACAUCCCGAUGCCCGCUCUAGAGAUAGAGCUUUACUUCGGUACAUCGGUGACAGGUGGUGCAUGGUUGUCGUCAGCUCGUGUCGUGAGAUGUUGGGUUAAGUCCCGCAACGAGCGCAACCCUUAUUGUUAGUUGCCAUCAUUCAGUUGGGCACUCUAGCGAGACUGCCGGUAAUAAACCGGAGGAAGGUGGGGAUGACGUCAAAUCAUCAUGCCCCUUAUGACCUGGGCUACACACGUGCUACAAUGGCUGGUACAACGAGUCGCAAGCCGGUGACGGCAAGCUAAUCUCUGAAAGCCAGUCUCAGUUCGGAUUGUAGGCUGCAACUCGCCUACAUGAAGUCGGAAUCGCUAGUAAUCGCGGAUCAGCACGCCGCGGUGAAUACGUUCCCGGGCCUUGUACACACCGCCCGUCGCACCACGAGAGUUUGUAACACCCGAAGU
rnacentral:rRNA from 1 species